UGCACCGAGCGGAGGAGUUGCGAACGGGUGAGUAACGCGUAGGUAACCUGCCUCUUAGCGGGGGAUAACUAUUGGAAACGAUAGCUAAUACCGCAUAAAAGUCGACAUUGCAUGAUGUUGACUUGAAAGGUGCAACUGCAUCACUAAGAGAUGGACCUGCGUUGUAUUAGCUAGUUGGUGAGGUAACGGCUCACCAAGGCGACGAUACAUAGCCGACCUGAGAGGGUGAUCGGCCACACUGGGACUGAGACACGGCCCAGACUCCUACGGGAGGCAGCAGUAGGGAAUCUUCGGCAAUGGACGGAAGUCUGACCGAGCAACGCCGCGUGAGUGAAGAAGGUUUUCGGAUCGUAAAGCUCUGUUGUAAGAGAAGAACGAGUGUGAGAGUGGAAAGUUCACACUGUGACGGUAACUUACCAGAAAGGGACGGCUAACUACGUGCCAGCAGCCGCGGUAAUACGUAGGUCCCGAGCGUUAUCCGGAUUUAUUGGGCGUAAAGCGAGCGCAGGCGGUUAGAUAAGUCUGAAGUUAAAGGCUGUGGCUUAACCAUA
rnacentral:rRNA from 1 species